GCCUUUGUGGUGUAGUGGUCAGCACGCUCGGCGCGUAUUCGAGAGGUCCGUGGUUCGAAUCCGGCGAAGGCA
rfam:Stegodyphus mimosarum contig85320, whole genome shotgun sequence.